rnacentral:piRNA from 1 species
UGACUCAAGAAUUAUCGGCCAACAUGUGGAC